AGUGAACGUUAGCGGCGGGCUUAACACAUGCAAGUCGAGCGAGAAAGGGGCUUCGGCCCUGAGUACAGCGGCGGACGGGUGAAUAACACGUAGGUAACCUUCCUUUCAGCAGGGGACAACGGUCCGAAAGGACCGCUAAUACCGCAUACGUUCCCUGGGACCUCGGUCCUGGGGAGGAAAGGCCCGCAAGGGCCACUGGAUGAGGGGCCUGCGUAGCAUCAGCUAGUUGGUGGGGUAAUGGCCUACCAAGGCGAAGACGCUUAGCUGGUCUGAGAGGAUGAUCAGCCACACUGGGACUGAGACACGGCCCAGACUCCUACGGGAGGCAGCAGUGGGGAAUAUUGGACAAUGGGCGCAAGCCUGAUCCAGCCACGCCGCGUGAGUGAUGAAGGCCUUCGGGUCGUAAAGCUCUGUGGGGGAGGGACGGAACGGCGGCCAUGAAGAGUGGCGAUUGACGGUACCUCCUUAGCAAGCACCGGCUAACUUCGUGCCAGCAGCCGCGGUAAU
rnacentral:rRNA from 1 species